rnacentral:rRNA from 1 species
AUACGUAGGGGACAAGCGUUAUCCGGAUUUACUGGGUGUAAAGGGAGCGUAGGCGGCCAGCCAAGUCAGAAGUGAAAUCCCACGGCUCAACUGUGGGCGUGCUUUUGAAACUGGAGGGCUUGAGUACUGGAGGGGCAAGCGGAAUUCCUGGUGUAGCGGUGAAAUGCAUAGAUAUCAGGAAGAACACCGGAGGCGAAGGCGGCUUGCUGGACAGAGACUGACGCUGAGGCUCGAAGGCGUGGGGAGCAAACAGGAUUAGAUACCCUGGUAGUCCACGCGGUAAACGAUGAAUGCUAGGUAUUGGGCUCCAUAGGGGUUCGGUGCCGCAGUUAACGCAAUAAGCAUUCCACCUGGGGGGUACGUUCGCAAGAAUGAAACUCAAAGGAAUUGGCGGGG